AACGAACGCUGGCGGCAUGCCUAACACAUGCAAGUCGAACGAGACCUUCGGGUCUAGUGGCGCACGGGUGCGUAACGCGUGGGAAUCUGCCCUUGGGUUCGGAAUAACAGUUGGAAACGACUGCUAAUACCGGAUGAUGACGUAAGUCCAAAGAUUUAUCGCCCAAGGAUGAGCCCGCGUAGGAUUAGCUAGUUGGUGAGGUAAAGGCUCACCAAGGCGACGAUCCUUAGCUGGUCUGAGAGGAUGAUCAGCCACACUGGGACUGAGACACGGCCCAGACUCCUACGGGAGGAAGCAGUGGGGAAUAUUGGACAAUGGGCGAAAGACUGAUCCAGCAAUGCCGCGUGAGUGAUGAAGGCCUUAGGGUUGUAAAGCUCUUUUACCCGGGAUGAUAAUGACAGUACCGGAAGAAUAAGCGCCGGCUAACUCCGUG
rnacentral:rRNA from 1 species